rnacentral:rRNA from 1 species
UGAGGAAUAUUGGUCAAUGGGCGAGAGCCUGAACCAGCCAAGUCGCGUGAGGGAAGAAUGGUCUAUGGCCUGUAAACCUCUUUUGUCAGGGAAGAAUAAGGAUGACGAGUCAUUCGAUGCCAGUACUUGACGAAUAAGCAUCGGCUAACUCCGUGCCAGCAGCCGCGGUAAUACGGGGGAUGCGAGCGUUAUCCGGAUUUAUUGGGUUUAAAGGGCGCGUAGGCGGGACGUCAAGUCAGCGGUAAAAGACUGCAGCUAAACUGUAGCACGCCGUUGAAACUGGCGCCCUGGAGACGAGACGAGGGAGGCGGAACAAGUGAAGUAGCGGUGAAAUGCAUAGAUAUUAGGAGGAACACCAGUGGCGAAGGCGGAUUGCUGGACGAUAACUGACGGUGAGGCGCGAAAGUGUGGGGAGCAAACAGGAUUAGAUACCCUGGUAGU